GAUGAACGCUGACAGAAUGCUUAACACAUGCAAGUCUACUUGAACUUCGGUUUGGGUGGCGGACGGGUGAGUAACGCGUAAAGAACUUACCUCACAGUUAGGGACAACAUUUGGAAACGAAUGCUAAUACCUGAUAUUAUGAUUUUAGGGCAUCCUAAGAUUAUGAAAGCUAUAUGCGCUGUGAGAGAGCUUUGCGUCCCAUUAGCUAGUUGGAGAGGUAACGGCUCACCAAGGCGAUGAUGGGUAGCCGGCCUGAGAGGGUGAACGGCCACAAGGGGACUGAGACACGGCCCUUACUCCUACGGGAGGCAGCAGUGGGGAAUAUUGGACAAUGGACCAAAAGUCUGAUCCAGCAAUUCUGUGUGCACGAUGACGUUUUUCGGAAUGUAAAGUGCUUUAAGUUGGGAAGAAAAAAAUGACGGUACCAACAGAAGAAGUGACGGCUAAAUACGU
rnacentral:rRNA from 1 species